CCUACGGGAGGCAGCAGUAGGGAAUAUUGCUCAAUGGGGGAAACCCUGAAGCAGCAACGCCGCGUGGAGGAUGAAGGUUUUCGGAUUGUAAACCUCUUUUGCCGGGGAGCAAGCCUGAGCACGUGUGCCCAGGCGGAGAGUACCCUGAGAAAAAGCAUCGGCUAACUCCGUGCCAGCAGCCGCGGUAAUACGGAGGAUGCGAGCGUUAUCCGGAUUUAUUGGGUUUAAAGGGUGCGCAGGCGGGCUGUUAAGCUGGAGGUAAAAAUUCAGGGCUCAACCCUGAGCCUGCAUUUGACACUGUUUUUCUUGAGUGCUGGAGAGGCAAGCGGAAUGCCGUGUGUAGCGGUGAAAUGCGUAGAUAUACGGAGGAACACCAGUGGCGAAGGCGGAUUGCUGGACAGUAACUGACGCUGAGGCGCGAAAGCGUGGGGAGCAAACAGGAUUAGAUACCCCAGUAGUC
rnacentral:rRNA from 1 species